rnacentral:rRNA from 1 species
GACGAACGCUGGCGGCGUGCCUAAUACAUGCAAGUCGAGCGAAGUUUUUCUGGUGCUUGCACUAGAAAAACUUAGCGGCGAACGGGUGAGUAACACGUAAAGAACCUGCCUCAUAGACUGGGACAACUAUUGGAAACGAUAGCUAAUACCGGAUAACAGCAUUAACUGCAUGGUUGAUGUUUAAAAGUUGGUUUUGCUAACACUGUGAGAUGGCUUUGCGGUGCAUUAGCUAGUUGGUGGGGUAAGGGCCUACCAAGGCGACGAUGCAUAGCCGACCUGAGAGGGUGAUCGGCCACACUGGGACUGAGACACGGCCCAGACUCCUACGGGAGGCAGCAGUAGGGAAUCUUCCGCAAUGGGCGAAAGCCUGACGGAGCAACGCCGCGUGAGUGAAGAAGGAUUUCGGUUCGUAAAGCUCUGUUGUUAGGGAAGAAUGAUUGUGUAGUAACUAUACACAGUAGAGACGGUACCUAACCAGAAAGCCACGGCUAACUACGUGCCAGCAGCCGCGGUAAUACGUAGGUGGCAAGCGUUGUCCGGAAUUAUUGGGCGUAAAGCGCGCGCAGGUGGUUUAAUAAGUCUGAUGUGAAAGCCCACGGCUCAACCGUGGAGGGUCAUUGGAAACUGUUAAACUUGAGUGCAGGAGAGAAAAGUGGAAUUCCUAGUGUAGCGGUGAAAUGCGUAGAGAUUAGGAGGAACACCAGUGGCGAAGGCGGCUUUUUGGCCUGUAACUGACACUGAGGCGCGAAAGCGUGGGGAGCAAACAGG